ACAUCCAUGGAAACAUUCACUUCUGCUUCUCUGCAUCUUUUUAUACUCCAGUCCCAUCCAGAGCUGCAGCGGCGAUUCAUCUGUGGCAGGAAUGCAGGAUCUUCUACAAUGCAGAACAGCAGAGCCUGUAAGGUCCUUCAGCCUCAGGAAAGAAAUAGAAUUACCACUGCAGCUCUGGAUGUGACUAAAGCAUAUGACCUGACUGCAAAGAACCUGCAAUAAGAAGCUUUCGCACCCAAACAGCGCGGUACCGCCCAUGUCUGUGGCCACAGGCUCCCUGCUGCU